rnacentral:rRNA from 1 species
UACGAAGGGGGCUAGCGUUGUUCGGAAUCACUGGGCGUAAAGGGCGCGUAGGCGGCUUUAUAAGUCGGGGGUGAAAGCCUGUGGCUCAACCACAGAAUUGCCUUCGAUACUGUAGAGCUUGAGACCGGAAGAGGUAAGUGGAACUGCGAGUGUAGAGGUGAAAUUCGUAGAUAUUCGCAAGAACACCAGUGGCGAAGGCGGCUUACUGGUCCGGUUCUGACGCUGAGGCGCGAAAGCGUGGGGAUCAAACAGG